rnacentral:sRNA from 1 species
UCAUCGGAAGCUCUAACAAUAGCGGUUUGUUUUGCGCUGUAAAGUCCGUCUGUGUUGUGACACAUGCAAGAUAUGCAACCA